UACCUGGUGAAUGGGAAGCAGACGGAA
rnacentral:piRNA from 1 species